GCAACACUGAGGCUCAGCCUUGCGUUGGCAGACUACUGUGGUAGCUGCCCAAACCCAGACGGCGCCGCCCCGCGGCCGACGAUGCGCACAAGCAGAAGUCAGUCGCGACGGACGGCAGCCUUGUAUCAAAUUUCAA
rnacentral:misc_RNA from 1 species